GACGAACGCUGGCGGCGUGCCUAAUACAUGCAAGUCGAACGCACUCUCGUUUAGUUUGAAGGAGUUUGCUCCUGAUUGAUAAACAUUUGAGUGAGUGUCGGACGUGUGAGUAACACGUGGGUAACCUGCCCUAAAGUGGGGGAUUACAUUUGGAAACAGAUGCUAAUACCGCAUAAAACCUAACACCGCAUGUUGUUGGGUUGAUAGAUGGUUUCGGCUAUCACUUUAGGAUGGUACCGCGGUGCAUUAGUUAGGUGGUGAGUUAGAGGCUCACCAAGACGGUGGUGCAUAGCAGACCUGAGAGGGUAAGCGGACACGGUGGGAGAGAGACACGGCACAGACUCGUACGGGGGGCAGGAGUAGGGAAUCAUCCAAAAGGGAAGAAAGUCUGAUGGAGCAACGCCGCGUGAGUGAAGAAGGUUGUCGGAUGGGAAAACUCUGUUGUUGGAGAAGAAUGUAUCUGAUAGUAACUGAACAGGUAGAGAGGGUAUGCAAAAAGAAAGCCAGGGCUAACUACG
rnacentral:rRNA from 1 species